CCCCUCUCAGGAUCACAUCUGGAGAGUUUCCAGCAUUCCACUAGUCCUGGCUAUGAUAGGGAGAGUCAAACAGAGGCAUAUCCAUUCCAUUUCCAGCUUGAGCAGUGGCUAGUGAAUGGAAGGCAAUCUGCUACAUUG